UACGGAGGGUGCUAGCGUUGUUCGGAAUCACUGGGCGUAAAGGGCGUGUAGGCGGUCUGUUAAGUCUGAUGUGAAAUCCCCUCGCUCAACGAGGGAACUGCGUCGGAUACUGGCAGACUCGAGUACCGGAGAGGAAGGUGGAAUUCCCGGUGUAGCGGUGAAAUGCGCAGAUAUCAGGAGGAACACCAAUUGCGAAGGCAGCUCGCUGGGACGUAACUGACGCUGAGACGCGAAAGCGUGGGGAGCAAACAGG
rnacentral:rRNA from 1 species